rnacentral:lncRNA from 1 species
UCAACAUUGUCGGAGGUAAAAAAUAUUAAAUCAAAAUUUCUUGUUAUCUUGAAGAGAGAGAAUUUAUUUUUCAAGUGACCGGUUUUAUGAUUAAUAACAGAUUACAGUAAAUGAGGUUGCCAAGAGGAAAGAUCUUCUUUUGUAUCAUUUAAAAGUUUAAAUGAAAUCAAUGUUUUACUUCAUUUUGAUGGGUUACCAAGACAGUUCACGGCUAUAAUUAAUUAUAGUUAUAGAAAUAAGAAGAUGUGGCAUUAUUGCCAAUAAGACAACACUCCAACAGAGUUCAAUUGACACAACUAUAGUUCAUCGUACAGCCUACAACAAUGAGAAAAACAUCAUAUCGCAUAUAUCAUAUAUCAGUCAUAAAGGGCCACGAAAUGACAAAAGUAAAACAAAAAACUAAUAACCUGUACAAUAUAUAUGAGUUUGGCUGUCCCUCUGGUAUAUUUCGUCCCUCUUUUUUAAUGAAGAAAAAUAUGAUAUACAGCAACAAACAACAACCUCAUAAAAAACUGGUUUGUUAACAUAACAUGUUAAAACACUACUUUCCAUCACCUCUGGUUAAGACUGACAAGCAGUUAUGCCUGAUUCCAUUAUUAAGAUUAUGCUCUUCUAGAUCAUGUUAAAGAAAUUCUACGAAACGCAUAUUAACGAUGUUUAUGGUGCACAUAAAACAGUCUGACUACGCAAUGAAUGGUCAUAUCACGCUGUUAAUAUACUCCAGCGUUUGAAAAAAGUUGCUUAACCAUUACAGUCAGACUUUUAACUAUGUGUUUAUACUGUUUUUCACCAUAAUUCUCAUACGUAACAAAAUUGUCUUUCAGAAAAAACAUUCUCUCAGCCAUGUGUGCAGAAUUACAGUGACUACACAUGUUUGUGAUUUUUGUAAUGAUGUCUAAAAUGCAAACAAGGAAAUUCGUCAUUUCAAAGCAUUUCAAAGUAUGUCUCAAUAAGACUGUUUUGAUUAAAUAUGAUGUAAAGUCGCUCGAGACUUCUUCGACAUCUCGAAGAACGAUAUACUUCAUAAGUCUGUAACAUUUCCUGUGGUGCAAUGAUAAGGAUUUCAUGCGCUUGACUUCUGUUAGAGUAAAUGUAAACUUAAAGCAUGGUUGAUCAUGAUGGGAACCAACUGUCGUCGGCAAAACAAAACAGGAAUAAUCAUCUUUGAGCUGGUCAAAAUACUGAAAAUUCUUUCUAUCCACGUGAUGAGAAAUGUCAAUAGCUAGCACUAUGUCUAUGGAAAUCCUUAAUUUCUGUGAUGUAAGUGAACUUUUGGGUGUCCAUUCCAUUAGUAAUUUUAAAGCCUGCCCAUUAUGUCUUGUCCCAUCAGUAAAAAAUGACAAUGUUCCAGUAUUUUUUUCAAUAGUUUUGCAUACAAUCUUUGAAAUUGCUGACUGUACUAAAUCAGCUUUAUAAAUAUACUUCAGAAAAUCUGUAUAAAUAAAUCGAUCAUGUGAUAUAAAGAACCUGUCGAACGUUUUCACCAAAUUCGGGUCUUUUACCUGAAGGUGGGCAUGUUUGAAUGCAUGUUCACCUCUUAUGUGGUAUUUUUUACAGUCUUUUUUUAUUGUCGAUAAUAAUAAUAUCCAAAGCACCUGGUACAGACAAUUUUUUUAAUACAACAAGAAAGUCAAAUUCGCUAGGCUCUAUUAUACGCGUUUCUUCCGCCAUACUACCGACAAGGUAUUUCUGUGAAACCUCAAACACGCUUCGACUAUCAUCAUAAUCACCAAAC